UACGAAGGGGGCUAGCGUUGCUCGGAAUCACUGGGCGUAAAGGGUGCGUAGGCGGGUCUUUAAGUCAGAGGUGAAAUCCUGGAGCUCAACUCCAGAACUGCCUUUGAUACUGAGGGUCUUGAGUACGGGAGAGGUGAGUGGAACUGCGAGUGUAGAGGUGAAAUUCGUAGAUAUUCGCAAGAACACCAGUGGCGAAGGCGGCUCACUGGCCCGUUACUGACGCUGAGGCACGAAAGCGUGGGGAGCAAACAGG
rnacentral:rRNA from 1 species